rnacentral:lncRNA from 1 species
CAUCCAGACUUCCACAGGAUCUCCAGACUCCUCCAGCGGAUGAAUCUCCCCAAUGCCAUCCAAAGUCCACCAUCGGCCGACCCUCUGCCAGAUUCUUCAUGAAACCGGAUUUCUCCAAUAGAAAGUCUCCGUCCAAGCUUCUAUAGUAGAUGGUUCCCACCUGCAGCAUCAGCGCUCUAGGCACCCAACAAUGGUAGACCCGUCACAACCUCAGAAACAUCCGAGCUUCUCCUAGAUCGACGAGAUAGAGAACCAUUCCACUCCAUCAGACAUCCCAGCCAAGCUUCAGCCGACAGAUCCGAACUUUCUGGCAAGUCACGAUAAUGGCUGCUACCCUACUCCACUCUCUACAACGGAUUCCACGUGGCUCCACCACUCUUUGGCA